AGAGUUUGAUCCUGGCUCAGGAUGAACGCUAGCGGCAGGCUUAACACAUGCAAGUCGAGGGGCAGCAUGAAAGUAGCAAUACUUUUGAUGGCGACCGGCGGACGGGUGCGUAACGCGUAUGCAACCUACCCUUUACAGGGGGAUAACACUGAGAAAUCGGUACUAAUACCCCAUAAUAUUCCGGGAGGCAUCUUUCGGAGUUGAAAGCUUUGGUGGUAAAGGAUGGGCAUGCGUUGUAUUAGCUAGUUGGUAAGGUAACGGCUUACCAAGGCGACGAUACAUAGGGGGACUGAGAGGUUAACCCCCCACAUUGGUACUGAGACACGGACCAAACUCCUACGGGAGGCAGCAGUGAGGAAUAUUGGUCAAUGGACGCAAGUCUGAACCAGCCAUGCCGCGUGCAGGAAGACGGCUCUAUGAGUUGUAAACUGCUUUUGUACGAGGGUAAACGCUCUUACGUGUAAGAGCCUGAAAGUAUCGUACGAAUAAGGAUCGGCUAACUCCGUGCCAGCAGCCGCGGUAAUACGGAGGAUCCAAGCGUUAUCCGGAUUUAUUGGGUUUAAAGGGUGCGUAGGCGGUUUGAUAAGUUAGAGGUGAAAUACCGGUGCUUAACACCGGAACUGCCUCUAAUACUGUUGAACUAGAGAGUAGUUGCGGUAGGCGGAAUGUAUGGUGUAGCGGUGAAAUGCUUAGAGAUCAUACAGAACACCGAUUGCGAAGGCAGCUUACCAAACUAUAUCUGACGUUGAGGCACGAAAGCGUGGGGAGCAAACAGGAUUAGAUACCCUGGUAGUCCACGCAGUAAACGAUGAUAACUCGCUGUCGGCGAUACACAGUCGGCGGCUAAGCGAAAGCGAUAAGUUAUCCACCUGGGGAGUACGUUCGCAAGAAUGAAACUCAAAGGAAUUGACGGGGGCCCGCACAAGCGGAGGAACAUGUG
rnacentral:rRNA from 1 species